rnacentral:rRNA from 1 species
GCGAUGCUUUUAGAGAUAAAGCGGAGGUAUUCGGGGAGACAGGUGGUGCAUGGUUGUCGUCAGCUCGUGUCGUGAGAUGUUGGGUUAAGUCCCGCAACGAGCGCAACCCUAUGCUAGUUACCAUCAUUAAGUUGGGGACUCUAGCGAGACUGCCAGUGAUAAACUGGAGGAAGGUGGGGAUGACGUCAAAUCAUCAUGCCCCUUAUGACCUGGGCUACAAACGUGAUACAAUGGCUGGAACAAAGGGAUGCGAAGCAGUGAUGUGGAGCGAAACCCAUAAAAACAGUCUCAGUUCGGAUUGAAGUCUGCAACUCGACUUCAUGAAGUCGGAAUCGCUAGUAAUCGCGGAUCAGAACGCCGCGGUGAAUACGUUCUCGGGGUUU